rnacentral:rRNA from 1 species
UCGGGAAUUUUGGGCAAUGGGCGAAAGCCUGACCCAGCAACGCCGCGUGAAGGAUGAAGUAUUUCGGUAUGUAAACUUCGUAAGAAUAGGAAGAAUAAAUGACGGUACUAUUUGUAAGGUCCGGCUAACUACGUGCCAGCAGCCGCGGUAAUACGUAGGGACCAAGCGUUGUUCGGAUUUACUGGGCGUAAAGGGCGCGUAGGCGGCGUGGUAAGUCAUCUGUGAAAUCUCCGAGCUUAACUCGGAACGGUCAGAUGAUACUGCUGUGCUAGAGUACAGAAGGGGCAAUCGGAAUUCUUGGUGUAGCGGUGAAAUGCGUAGAUAUCAAGAGGAACACCUGAGGUGAAGACGGGUUGCUGGGCUGACACUGACGCUGAGGCGCGAAAGCCAGGGGAGCAAACGGGAUUAGAUACCCUGGUAGUCCCUGAGCGGGCUGGCAAGGCGCAU